GCGAAAGCUAGUUGCAUUAAAUUCGAUUAAUUCGAAGUUAUUGCAGCAUCGACUAUGUCGAAUAAAGUUCUAGGUAGAGUUAUGAUAAUGACAUUUUCUAUCUAUGUGUCUUGACCAAAUCACGUGCCAGCAGUCGCGGUAAUACGUGGAAGACUAGUGUUAUUCAUCUUUAAUAGGUUUAAAGGGUACUUAGACGGUAUUUUUAGCCCAAAUAAAAACAAAGGGUACUAAUUAUACUAGAGUUUUAUGAGUGGGGGGUGCGUACGAAUGGUGUAGAGAUGAAAUUCUGUCAUACCAUUAUGACAGGCGACGGCGAAAGCAACCUUUAGUUAAAAACUGACGUUAAAGGACGAAGGCUUUGUAUCACCAACAGGAUUAGAUACCCAAGCAGUCUAAGCAGACAAUUAUGAAUGCCAUAGAUAAGAAAUCCAUAGAUAAAGAAGAAAACAUGUACUUUUCAGAAUGCCCUUUUUGGGCAUUGGUUUAUUAAAAAAAAUAAACUUCUCCUCUUCACUUCUUCAUUUAUUGAAGAAAGAGAGAAGUCGAGAUGAAAAAAAUGGCUCGUAAUCUUAUCCAUCAUCAUCAUCUUUCAGAUGAUGAAGAAUACAUUUCUUUUAGACAUCGACUAUGUCGAAGUUAACAAAAAAAGAAAUAGGAUGUAUUUUUGUCUAUAAAUGAAAGUGUAAGCAUUCCACCUCAAGAGUAAAGUGGCAACGCACAAACUGAAAUCAUUAGACCGUUUCUGAAACCAGUAGUGAAGUAUGUUGUUUAAUUUGAUGGUCCGCAAAAAACCUUACCACAAUUUGUAUAUUAUUAGCUUAAUACAAGAGUUGCACGGCUGUCUUCAGUUAAUGUCGUGAGAUUUUGGUUAGUUCCAUAAAAUUAACGUAAACCCUUACUUUAUUUAUAUUAUAAAGUAGUUCACCACUAUAUUGGAUAUGAUA
rnacentral:rRNA from 1 species